GCAAGGCUAAAUACUCCUGAGAGACCGAUAGUGAACCAGUACCGUGAGGGAAAGGUGAAAAGCACUUCGAACAGAAGAGUGAAAUAGUCCCUGAACCCAUACGCCUACAAGCAGUCGGAGCCGCUUCGUGCGGUGACGGCGUGCCUUUUGCAUAAUGAGCCUACGAGUUACUCAUCACCAGCGAGGUUAAGUACUUCAGGUACGUAAGCCGAAGCGAAAGCGAGUCUGAAUAGGGCGUCAAGUUGGUGGUGGUAGACGCGAAACCUUAGUGAUCUACCCAUGGGCAGGGUGAAGGUUUGGUAACACAAACUGGAGGCCCGAACCGGUAAACGUUGAAAAGUUUUCGGAUGACCUGUGGGUAGGGGUGAAAGGCCAAUCAAACUGGGAAAUAGCUCGUACUCUCCGAAAUGCAUUUAGGUGCAGCCUCUGUUGUUUUGUUCUAGAGGUAGAGCUACUGAUUGGAUGCGAGGGCUUCACCGCCUAUCAAAUCCGGCCAAACUCCGAAUGCUAGAACAUAAAGACAGGGAGUGAGCCAGCGGGUGCUAAGGUCCGUUGACGAAAGAGGGAGAACUCAGACCAUCAGCUAAGGUCCCCAAUUAUAUGCUAAGUUGGAAUAAAAACGGGGUGGGACUGCUUAGACAGCUAGGAUGUUGGCUUGGAAGCAGCCAUUCAUUUAAAGAGUGCGUAACAGCUCACUAGUCGAGCGGUCCUGCAUGGAUAAUACGCGGGCAUAAGCAUAUAACCGAAGCUAUGGGAUUGUAGAUGAUACAAUCGGUAGGAGAGCAUUCCAUUCAGCAUAGAAGCAGUAUCGUGAGGUAUUGUGGAGCGGAUGGAAAAGCAAAUGUAGGCAUAAGUAACGAUAAUGCGGGUGAGAACCCCGCACGCCGAAAGAUCAAGGAUUCCCCGGCAAUGUCAAUCAUCCGGGGGUAAGUCGGAUCCUAAGGGUAAGCCGAGUGGCGAUCCCGAUGGUAAACAGGUUAAUAUUCCUGUACUGAUCAUAACUGCGAUGCAGCGACGCAGAGGUGACACUGCUGCGUACUGACGGAAUAGUACGUUGAAACCCGUAUUCUUUGAUACCGGUAGUGAAGCACGCCGGUAGAGAUGAAAGGUGAUAGUACCGCAAUGCUUCGGUUGCGCGGAUAAUGCAGGUAAGCUGACUGCCAAGAAAACCUGCUAAGCUUCAGGUAAUGAUCAUCCGUACUGUAAACGGACACACGUGAUCAGGUAGAAAAUACUAAGGCGCUCGAGAGAUUCAUGGUUAAGGAACUAGGCAAAAUGGUCCUGUAACUUCGGGAUAAAGGACGCUCUUGUGAAAGAGCCGCAGAUAAUAGGCCCAGGCGACUGUUUACCAAAAACACAUGGCUAUGCUAAUUCGCAAGAAGAUGUAUAUGGCCUGACACCUGCCCGGUGCCGGAAGGUUAAGAGGAGAGCUCAGAGGUAACUCGAAGGUUUGAAUUGAAGCCCCGGUAAACGGCGGCCGUAACUAUAACGGUCCUAAGGUAGCGAAAUUCCUUGUCGGGUAAGUUCCGACCUGCACGAAUGGUGUAACGAUCUGGGUACUGUCUCAACCAUGAGCUCGGUGAAAUUGUAGUUCCGGUGAAGAUGCCGGAUACCCGCAACGGGACGGAAAGACCCCGUGAACCUUUACUGCAGCUUUGCAUUGAUUUUGGGUAACAGAUGUGUAGGAUAGGUCGGAGGCUUUGAUGCUGCGUCGUCAGGCGUAGAGUAGCCGUCGUUGAAAUACGACCCUUUUGUUAUCUGAGGUCUAAUCCCGUUAGGGAGACAUUGCAUGGUGGGUAGUUUGACUGGGGUGGUCGCCUCCAAAAGUGUAACGGAGGCUUCUCAAGGUACCCUCAAGGCGUUUGGUAAUCGUCUGCAGAGUGCAAUGGCAUAAGGGUGCUUGACUGUGAGACCGACACGUCGAUCAGGUUGGAAACAAGAGCAUAGUGAUCCGGUGGUUCCGCAUGGAAGGGCCAUCGCUCAAAGGAUAAAAGGU
rnacentral:rRNA from 1 species